AACGUAGGUGGCAAGCGUUAUCCGGAAUUACUGGGCGUAAAGGGUGUGCAGGCGGGGUUGCAAGUGGUGUAUGAAAUAUCCCAGCUUAACUGGGAGGGGUUAUGCCAGACUGCAACUCUAGAGGACGAGAGAGGGGGGCGGAAUUCCGGGUGUAGUGGUGAAAUGCGUAGAGAUCCGGAGGAACCCCAGAGGCGAAGGCGGCCCCCUGGCUCGUACCUGACGCUCAGCCACGAAAGCAUGGGGAGCGAACGGG
rnacentral:rRNA from 1 species